GGGGCGUUGGAGCCGCGAGGGGAUGGAGGGGCGCGGGGCGGUACAGGGGUGCGGGCCGGAGACUGCGACCUACUCGCUGGGGCCCGUGGGACGCGGAAGAGGGGACCGGCGGGCGGCCGGAGCUGCUGUGCUUGGAGCAGACCCGGCGAGUGCCAGGGCAGGAUGUGGGUUCGACAGCUGGCCCGUUUAAGUGCACAGCUUCCACUCGGAGAUAAUUUCCACUCAUUUUGUCUCGUGGUCACAUCGUAAUUGAGUAAUAUGCCAUCGACACACAUUAUGUUGAAUGAGGAGACCAAAAUGUUUGGGGCUGCUCAAAUAAUGGUUGGUCUAAUACACUGUUUUCUAGGAUACUUCUGGUUAUAUUUAUAUGUUCAACAACAUGAUGUAUUUUCAUUAGUCUACCUGCCUAUAACCUUGGUAUCAGGAUACCCAUUUCUGGGAUUCGUAGUUUACAUCACAUCAGGAACUUUAGCAGUACAAGCAGAGAAGAAUCCUUCCACUGCACUGCUCACCUGCGCCGCAACCAUGAACGUCAGCAGCUUCACCAUAGCAAUGAUUGGUCUAUUUCUAGUUGUCCUGGAAGUCGCAUUCUUUUUAGCUCACAAUAAAAAUAUUCAAUGGCCACAUCAAAGUGGAAUGAUACUCUCAGCCUAUGUGUGGAUAUUCUCCAUCAUAGAGAUGUUCCUGGCACAGAAAAUAACGAGAUGGGUGAAGCAAGCACUUCGCCAGGAAAGCCGUCACACGUAGGGUUCGUGGCACCAGGAGAUCCUUCUUUUUCUACAUGUUAAGGAGCGCAGCCAUCCUGACCUCAGUCCAGGACGAGACAGUUUACAGAUGAAUGAAAAAGAGCUCAUCACUUUGUUCAAGCUGUUUCCCAGAAAGUAUACAUUAGUGAA